CCAUGCAAAAAAACAUUAUUAACAUCAAGCUGGAAAAGACCCCAAUGUUUCUUAACAGCCACAGCAAUCAGGCACUUAAAAGUAGACAGUUUGACCACAGGAGAGAAGGUUUCAGUGAAGUCAAUACCUUCAACUUGAGUAUUACCCCUAAUAACAAGCCUAGCUUUGUAUCUUUCAACAGUGUCAUCAGCUUUAUAUUUAAUCUUAUAGACCCACUUGCAUCCUAUGGGCUUUUUUCCAGAAGGAAGUGGAACAAUAUCCCAAGUGUGGUUGGCAUCCAAAGCCUCAAACUCCUUGCUCAUGGCAUCCUGCCAAGCUGAGACUGAAGCAGCUUGAGAAUAAAAGAGGGGUUCAGACUCCAAAGGAGAGAAGGAGGAGGAGGAACCAGAAAAGGAAGGCAAGUGACAAACAUAAUCAUUGAGACAAGAGGGAGGAUUAUGUGAUCUGCCAGAUCUUCUGUGUCCAGUAGGAACAACAGGAGAGGAAUGAGUAAAAGUAGGAGGAGAAACAGCAGGAAGAGGAACAGAAGGAGAGGAAAUGGAGGAAGGUAGUGAGGAAGAAGUAGGACUGGAAGCAGAAGGGGAAGAAGCAUGGAAAGUAGGCAGGACAAAAUCAGAAUAGGGAAAAUCAUAGGAAGGAAUAGGAGGAGGUGGAAAAACAGAAUCAGCAUGAAGAACAAAAGAAGCAGAUUCAAAAGGAAAACAGGUCUCAUGAAAAAAAACAUCUUAGGUCAUACAGCCUGUAGCCCUUUUUGGCAAAGGGAUAUCCCAGAAAAACACAAGAUAGAGCUCUAGGUUUAAGUUUAUCUCUUUGUGGAAGGGGGACAGUGGCAUAGGCAAGACGGCCAAAAUCCCUUAAAUGAGAAUAAUUAGGGGCUUGUCCAUGCAAUAUUUCAUAAGGAGAUUUAUUGUGAAGAAGUCUGGAGGGAAUCCUAUUAAGCAAAUAGGUGGCAGUCAAUAGGCAGUCCCCCCAAAAAUGAAGAGGUAAUUUGGAUUGAAAAAGUAAAGCUCUACAAGCUUCAAGGAGGGUUCUAUGCUUUCUUUUUACAACACCAUUUUGUUGAGGAGUAUGAGGACAGGUAGUUUGAUUAAUGAUGCCUUGUUGAUUAAAGAAAGAAACACUAGCACUACAAUACCAUUUUGUUGAGGAGUAUGGGGACAGGUAGUUUGAUGAAUAAUGCCUUGUUGAUCAAAGAACGAAACCUCAGCAAGACUAGACCCCAAUUUCAAAGCAUUAUCACUUCUGACUAUUUGUACAAUGGCAUUAAAUUAGGUUUUGACCAUACACAAAAAGGACUUGAGAAGGCUGAAAGCAUUACUUUUAGACCCCAGUAAAUGUGUCCAGGUUGCUCUAGAGAAAUCAUCAACUAUGGUAAGAAAAUAUUAUAAGGGCCCCAAGUGUCUACAUGAAUGAGCUGGAAAGGUCUACAGGUACCGAUGGAACUGUCAGGAAAAGGGAGUCUAGUUUGCCUAGCCAUG
rnacentral:lncRNA from 1 species